GGUGUGGCGCAGUUGGCUAGCGCGCCAGAUUGUGGCUCUGGAGGCCGAGGGUUCAAGUCCCUUCAC
rnacentral:tRNA from 1 species